AGAGGACUGUGGCAAAUGAUACAAGUUUUACGUGUGUGGGGUCGAUUGGACCCCAUUUCUAAACACAAGGCUUCCAUCUUUCCUGUGGGGAUGAGAGCUGCUGGGUUCCUCCGGAGCACCAUCUGAAAACUGAGACAGAGCAGAACUUCAGAUGCUCACUGGCAGGAGACAACUGUGAGGAGCUGCUUGAAAUGCCAGUCAUUUCACAGUGGGGUUUAACUCACAGAAAUCAGGCGGUGUGAGGUCAUUCUAGCGGGAGAGGUCAGAGGUCGGGGCACCUACCUGGACACUGGUGUCACACACGAGUCCAGCUGACACCCGACAGAAAACAGUCUGGCAGAGUCAGACGGUGUGUAGGAGUCGUCAGCAGCAUCAUGCGUUCCUAAAGACAGAGUCACAGACAGGUGGUCUGUAGUCCAGUCAAAACCAGCACCUGCUUCUGCGCUUUGCUUUGUUCAGAGGGUCUGGAUCAUUUGUUGUCAUUUUAAAGGAUUAGAUCAGAUUUUACCCAAUUUCUAACAUUUGGCCGUGAAAUAUGUAAUGCACCAACUCGAUGAAGCUAAAGGAAUCACCUAAGGUGUAAACAACCCAUUGCAGAGUCAUGGGCAUCUUUAGAGCAAUAGAAUGUCUUACACAUUCCUCUUGCUGUGACUGUAAUUGAUCAAUACAUUGUGUUUCUCUGCUGCCAUUGCUAAAGGCAGACUACACAUUACACACUACACACUACAGACUACACAUUACACACUACACACUACAGAUUACACAUUACACACUACAGACUACUGUUGGGUUCUGCAGGGGAGUGUUUUCUCUACAUUUUCAGGGUGGCAGGCUGAUGGGAUCCAGCUGGUGCUCAUCAUCUCCAAUCAGCAAGGGCCUUAAAUAGGAGCGGCUUCCUGGAAGAAGAUGCCAGAUGGUUCUGCUUCUACAGUGAACCAGCUCUGGCCUCUCUCUGAGAGUCUGAUCCACCUGGACUACCUGACUCUCGCUGUUCUGCUAGGCCUGGCCCCCGGAUUCCUCCACAACCACCACCCUGCUGCUGCCUGUCCGCCCUCAGUUACCUGCUGGAACUCCUCCACCUGGAAACCCCCUCACUGCCCCAACUGCUGUACCCUCCUCUGCUCAUCUGAACCCUCAAAACCGUAACCCUUCACCAGGUCACACCAUCAUUCCUGUCAUUAUUACUCUGUCUAACCACUCACCCAUUUCUCAGUUCCUCCUCUGGCCCGGUUCCUCCCUGCUGCCGCUGAUCUACACCUCUCCAUCCUUCCCCCAUUAUUGUUCAAUAAAUCUGUUAAACUGA